CGAUACGGGCAGACUGGAGUACUCCAGGGGAGACUGGAAUUCCCUGGUGAAGCGGUGGAAAUGCGCCAGAUAUCAGGAGGAACACCGGUGGCGAAAGGCGGGUCUCUGGGCAGUAACCUGACGCUGAGGAGCGAAAGCGUGGGGAGCGAACAGGAUUAGAUACCCUGGUAGUCCCACGCCGUAAACCGGUGGGUACUAGGUGUGGGUUUCCUUCCUUGGGAUCCGUGCCGUAGCUAACGCAUUAAGUACCCCGCCUGGGGAGUACGGCCGCAAGGCUAAAACUCAAAGGAAUUGACGGGGGCCCGCACAAGCGGCGGAGCAUGUGGAUUAAUUCGAUGCAACGCGAAGAACCUUACCUGGGUUUGACAUGCACAGGACGUCGGCAGAGAUGUCGGUUCCCUUGUGGCCUGUGUGCAGGUGGUGCAUGGCUGUCGUCAGCUCGUGUCGUGAGAUGUUGGGUUAAGUCCCGCAACGAGCGCAACCCUUGUCUCAUGUUGCCAGCACGUUAUGGUGGGGACUCGUGAGAGACUGCCGGGGUCAACUCGGAGGAAGGUGGGGAUGACGUCAAGUCAUCAUGCCCCUUAUGUCCAGGGCUUCACACAUGCUACAAUGGCCGGUACAAAGGGCUGCGAUGCCGUGAGGUGGAGCGAAUCCUUUCAAAGCCGGUCUCAGUUCGGAUCGGGGUCUGCAACUCGACCCCGUGAAGUCGGAGUCGCUAGUAAUCGCAGAUCAGCAACGCUGCGGUGAAUACGUUCCCGGGCCUUGUACACACCGCCCGUCACGUCAUGAAAGUCGGUAACACCCGAAGCCGGUGGCCUAACCCGUAAGGGAGGGAGCCGUCGAAGGUGGGGCUGG
rnacentral:rRNA from 1 species